rnacentral:lncRNA from 1 species
CAACUACUGAAGCCCAUGUACCUAGAGCCUGUGCUCUGCAGCAAGUGAAGCCACCUCAACGAGAAGCCCACGCACCGCAACAAAAAGUAGCCCCUGCUCACCACAACUAGAGAAAGCCCGCAUGCAGCAACGAAGACCCAACACAGCCAAAAAAAUAAAUACAUUUAUUUUUAAAAAACUCAAAUGGAUAGAGAAAACCUGGACCUACAGAAACAAUUUUAAAAUGGAUUCUUAUUUUUGAUCAGAUACUAACAUUUAUAGAAAAUAUCUUUAAUAAUACAUAAACCAAACUGAAUUAAGAUAAUAUUUUGCUUACCCUCUCCUCAUAAUGUUAAUUAGGAUACACACAUCAGAAGUAUAAAAUAGCCUUUGAGACCAAUUUUUAAAUUUUUCAUUUUUAAACACAAGUUCUUCCCUAUUUGAAAGCAGUGAAGAAACAAAAGAAAUAUUCAGUUGUUGGGGUAACUGACUCUCCAUUUGGAAAAAAAAGUCACCUGCAUUUGGGUUGGUUCAAAUUGAGGGAUAAAGACCAUUCAUGCAUACUGUAAAAUGUUAAUGUAAAAUAUCAAGCCAAGGAUAGUUACCUGUAUCAGAGCAGAAGCAGUUUCAAUGUAUUUCAACAACUCUUUCUUUGGUUUCUAGAUCCUUACAUGGGAAUUCAAAUGCUGGUGAUUUUUAUGUGUCAGGUAAGAGCUCAGUGGAUGUGAAAGUUCUCUUCUUCCUAUACCACAGCUGUUUCAUAUUCAGGCCUUUCAAAUAUUUAUAGAACUCAAAUUUCCUUUUCUGUGAAUAGCCCAUUCAUGUAUUUUGUCUAUUUUCUCUACUGGGACUUCCAAAAAAUGUUUUUAUUUAGAAAUAAUUAUAGAUUUAUAGAAGUUGAAGAAAUAAUAACCUAGACUACUCUGUGUACUCUAUAUCCACUUUCCCCUAAUGGUAAUGUCUUAUGUAAUUAUAUAUCGCAUUUGACACUAGUGUGAUUCACAGGCCUUAUCAGAUUUCACUGAUUUUACAUGCACUUCUGUAUGUGUAUCUCUAGUUCUAUACCAUUUUAUCUAGUGUAAAUUUAUGUAACUACCACCACAAUCAAGAUAUAGAACUUGAAACACCACAAAGAUCCCUUGUUCUAUCCCUUUGUAGUCACAACCAUCCUUUCCUCCCCCUGUUCCCCACUCCUAAUCCCUGCCAACCAUUAAUCUCCAUAAUUUCUUCAUAUAGGAGUGCUCUAUAAAUGUAAUCACUAUAUAACCUUUUAAGAUUGGCUUUUUUCACUCAACAUAAUUCUCCUGAGAUCAAUUCCACUUGUUGCAGGUACAAUAAUUUGUUCUUUUUUGGGUAAUUUCUGAGUAGUUUUUUAUGGUAUUGAUAUACCAUGGUUUCUCUAAACAUUCAGCCAUUGAAAGACAUUUGAAUUGUUUCCAAUUUGGGGUUAUUACAAAUCUGCUGUGAACAUUCUCUGCCACUUUGUUGUUUUGUUCUGUUUUUUUGUUCCUCUGUUUCACUUUUCAUGUCUUACUGUGGGUUAUUUGGGCAUUUUUUUAGAAUUCUACUUUGACUUAUCUAUAGAGUUCUUAAGUACAUUUCUUUGUAUAAUUUUUUAGUAGCUGCCCUAGGUAUUACAUUAUACAUAUGUAACUCAUCACAGUCUACUUUUGUUAACAUUGAGCCAGUUCAAAACCUUAUCUCAACUGAGCUCCUUUAAUUUACCCCCACUUUAUUGCAUAGUUAUCUUAAAUAUUUCCUCUAUGUACCUUAAGAACUACAUGAGAUAAUGUAGCCAUUUUUGAUUCAACCAUCUAACAUAAUUUUGGAAACUCAACAGGAGAAAGAUAAUUUAUUAAAUGUACCCAUAUUUUUACUUUAUGUUUUUUCCUCACUCCUGAUGUUCCACAUUUCCUUCAUUUCUCUUCUGCUUGAAGAACUUCCUUAUAAUAGAUCUCCUGACAGAUUCUUAGUUUUCCUUCAUCUGAGCAUGUCUUCAUUUCACCUUCACUCAUGAAGAAUAUUUUUUGCUGGUAUAGAGUUCUGGAUUGACAGUUCUUUCAGCACUUGAAAAAUGUGCUACUUCCUUCUGGCCGUCAUGUUUUCUGAUCAGAAAUCUGUCAUCUAAAUCAUUGUUCCUCUGCAGGUAAUGUAUAAUUACUCAUGCUGCUUUCAUUUUUUUCUCGUUUUUAGUUUUCUGAAUUUUUAUUAUGAUGUUUCUUGGCAUGGAUUUCUUUGGGUUUAUCCUGUUUGGGGUUUGCUUAGUUUCUUGAAUCUGUAGGCUUAUGUUUAUUGACAAAAUUGAGGAAUUUUCUGCCAUUUCUUUGAAUGCCUUUUCAGCCUGACUUUCCCCUUUCCUUCUAGGAUUCAGCAUAUUUUCCCUCUCUGUUGUUCAUAUUGGGUAAUUUCUCUUGUUCUAUAAGUUCAUUGAUACUUUCCUCUCUCCCCUCCAUUCUGUUCUUGAGUACAUCCAUUGAGUCUUUUACUUUGGCUACUGUAUUUUUCAGUUAAAAAUAUUCCAUUUUGGGGACUUCCCUGGUGGUGCAGUGGUUAAGAAUCCAACUGCCAAUGCAGGGGACACAGGUUCGAUCCCUGGUCCGGGAAGAUUCCACAUGCCACAGAGCAACUAAGCCUGUGCGCCACAACUACUGAGCCUGCGCUCUAGAGCCCAUGAGCCACAACUAUUGAGCCCAUGUGCACCACAACUACUGAAGCCCGUGUGCCCUACAGCCCAUACAGCACAACAAGCCACCACAGUGAGAAGCUUACGCACCACAAUGAAGGGUAGCCCCUGCUCGCCGCAACUAGAGAAAGCCCGAGUGCAGCAACAAAGACCCAACAGAGCCCCCCCCAAAAAUCCAUUUUUUUAUAUUCUCCCUUUCUUUGCUAAGAUUUUCUAUUUUUUAUUUGUUUCAAAUGUGUACAUAAUUUGUUCAUUGAAGCAUUUCUAUGAUUGCUGUUUUAAAUUUCUAGUCAGAUUAAAUUAUCUUGGUGUU